UACGUAGGGUGCAGGCGUUAAUCGGAAUUACUGGGCGUAAAGCGUGCGAAGGCGGCCUCUUAAGUCAGAUGUGAAAUCCCCGGGCUUAACCUGGGAACUGCGUUUGAAACUGGGAGGCUAGAGUGUGGAAGAGGGGGGUGGAAUUCCAGGUGUAGCAGUGAAAUGCGUAGAGAUCUGGAGGAACACCGAUGGCGAAGGCAGCCCCCUGGGCUGACACUGACGCUCAUGCACGAAAGCGUGGGGAGCAAACAGG
rnacentral:rRNA from 1 species